UACGAAGGGGGCUAGCGUUGCUCGGAAUUACUGGGCGUAAAGGGCGCGUAGGCGGCACUGUUAGUCAGGCGUGAAAGUCCUGGGCUCAACCUGGGAACUGCGCUUGAUACGGCAGAGCUAGAGGAUGGAAGAGGCUCGCGGAAUUCCCAGUGUAGAGGUGAAAUUCGUAGAUAUUGGGAAGAACACCGGUGGCGAAGGCACUUUACUGGGCUAUUACUAACACUCAGAGACGAAAGCUAGGGUAGCAAAUGGG
rnacentral:rRNA from 1 species